UACGGGGGGAGCAAGCGUUGUUCGGAUUUACUGGGCGUAAAGGGCGCGUAGGCGGCCAGCGCAAGUCAGUUGUGAAAUCUCCGGGCUUAACUCGGAAAGGUCAACUGAUACUGCGCGGCUAGAGUGCAGAAGGGGCAACUGGAAUUCUCGGUGUAGCGGUGAAAUGCGCAGAUAUCAGGAGGAACACCAAUUGCGAAGGCAGCUCGCUGGGACGUUACUGACGCUGAGACGCGAAAGCGUGGGGAGCAAACAGG
rnacentral:rRNA from 1 species